rnacentral:rRNA from 1 species
CUCGUAGGCGGCUUGUCGCGUCGACUGUGAAAACCCGCGGCUCAACCGCGGGCCUGCAGCCGAUACGGGCAGGCUGGAGUCCGGUAGGGGAGACUGGAAUUCCUGGUGUAGCGGUGAAAUGCGCAGAUAUCAGGAGGAACACCGAUGGCGAAGGCAGGUCUCUGGGCCGAUACUGACGCUGAGGAGCGAAAGCGUGGGAGCGAACA